GGGGCUGUUUGGUUUUGACAGCGAGUAGAAAAGGUAUGUAAGCAUGUCGAGCGUUGGAAUGCCGGCUCGUAAAUCUCGGAUUUCAAUACAAUAACUGGCGAAAAUAAUUACGCUCUUGCUGCUUAAUUGAAUCACAGUAGGUUAAGCUUAAUCUCGGUACAAGGUACCAAGACAAGACAUCUCUCCUGAGCCGUAGCUCCGAGGCAAAGGAUCCAGAGGUGCUGAUAAAUCGGAGAUAGUUCUGUUUGGCUUCGCAUUCAGGAUGAAAAUUUAGAAGAUAAGGCAAAAGUUGGUGGCUUCGGUCUUGCUUUUGCUCGAAAAUCAAAGCGGAGAUAAACAUGUAGAAAGCAUAUGGUUUCCUUGUUUGGACGAGGGUUCGACUCCCUCCAGCUCCACAG
rnacentral:tmRNA from 1 species